rnacentral:rRNA from 1 species
UACGUAGGGUGCGAGCGUUAAUCGGAAUUACUGGGCGUAAAGCGUGCGCAGGCGGUUUGUUUAGUCUGAUGUGAAAGCCCCGGGCUCAACCUGGGAAUGGCAUUGGAAACUGGCAAGCUUGAGUAUGGCAGAGGGGGGUGGAAUUCCGCGUGUAGCAGUGAAAUGCGUAGAGAUGCGGAGGAACACCGAUGGCGAAGGCAGCAAACUGGGACAAUACUGACGCUCAGGCACGAAAGCGUGGGGAGCAAACAGG